UAUCAGGCCAUGCUGGGCAGUAUUAAAAUCCCCAACUGUCUCCUGCAUACCCCCUAUGCACAUUUCCCUGCCCUCCUGGAGUUCUCUGUGUCUUACACUAAACAUUUUCACCUCAGGUCUACUAUCUUCAUUCUCCUCUGUCUCACACCUGAGCUGUCCCUUAUGUCUUCGCUGCUGCCAAUCCUGAAUCCUCAGACGUGGUGGUUUCCUCUGACGGCGUCCCAGCUGCUCUUGGCUUCCAAGCCCUACUUCCUGAUAAUUUCCAACAUCCACUCCCAUCCUCUUCCCUACUGCUUUCAAAAAUGACUCAUUUUAUUUUUAUUUAUGUGUGUUGGUACCUGUAUGCACACGUGUCUGCAGGGACCUGUGGAGGGCAUCAAGAUCCCUUGGAGCUGCAAUUUUGCAGGCAAUGAACUCAGAAGAUGAGAACUGCGUCUUCCUCAUCUUCGUGUUCCCAAGCUGCCCAGACAAGACCAAGGAGGAAGACUUGUGAUUCCCUUCUACAGAUUUCUCUCCUUAGAGAUUUAUGGAUGUGAACUUCAGAAGGCAGACCCUCAUAAACAGGGGGCAACUCUUCACCAUGGUCCAUGACACCCAUGUGACCAUGUAGAAGCAAGAUUACUGUUGAACGGCGUGGCCAGUCAGAUAAAGCCGUGAUUCCUCUGAUGGGAAACAUCGACACAGACUGAAUAGGCCACUGCUUUGUAAAGUCCUUCAUGUCAUGUGGCUUCAACCACUACCUCAACACACCCCACAUGGGACUCUGACUUCCCCUCACAGGCUGUCUCAUUCUCGAACCCUCUGUUAUCCCCACCCUCCCAGACUGUAUAUGGCAGAAGCGCCUUUGAUUACAUCGAUUUACACAGACCUUGAAGAACUGAGACUUACUGGGGUGGGAAAGGGAAACAACCAGGAAGAGAGGGCAGGCAGGCUGAAAGAGCCAGCUGUCAGAGAUGACUGCUGUAAAAACCAUGACUUCUGAACACUAUGGGGAUGCUGCACUCAAGAACUCAUGGCAACUGCGGAUCCCUGCACAAGAGCUGCCCAAGGUCAAGCCAGCCAGCAUUGCAGCAUGGAUGGAGGAGGUCAUGAGGCCCUACCCACAGCCAAAGAGAUAGUGCACAGCUGAAGGCUGCUGGGGGAGGGGAAGUCUCUGCAGGAUGUCGCAUAGACCAUUUCUUCUGUGUUACACACCACCAUCCCUAUGAUGGAUACAGAAGCUGCCUCCCAACACCUCAAACUAUUCUAUGAAUAACAUCUGCUCUGAGAAUAUAUCUGUACUCAGGAGCAGGAUUCGGGUCUGGACAUCAGUCACGCCAUGGAGCUACAAAAAGACAAGAGCCGCUGGCUUGCACCCCAAGAGGGGAAGCCACAGAAGCCACUAUGCUGAGUCAUUACAUCUCACUGUUUUAGGAUGCUGUGAGGCACCAUCUCAUCCUCCAUCAGGACCCAGGCAUACACUUUUCCAGCUGGCUGGAGCACUGACUACUGUGCUACAGUAUAGAGCCUUCCCAGGAACUGCCCUGGAAGAUGGGCACUGCCUUAGCAGUGGGAGAACAGGGAAGGAAUAGGAAACUUAAACAGAGAGGCCCAUGUCAGGGUCUCUUUCCAGAAUAAAACAGCCUGGGAUGAUCGCCUUCACCUCCCCCACACAAUGUCACCAUGAACAUAUUUGUGGACCUUUCCUUGAAAUUUUCUGACAUCUAUUUUGCUCAGGUACUUGUUUUCAGCCAGUAUCAACAGACUGCACUGGUGGUCUUACCUUUAUACAUCCUUGCCAAUACUUGCUAUUUUCCAUGUAUAACUUAAUUAAAAGGUUAAAACAACAAAAAAUUGGAUAUCUGGUCUACCUCUGUUUUACCAAACUGUCCCAGAAGUUUGUAUGCUUUACUGUGUUUUUUCUCUCUUUUCAUCUUUUCUUUUUUCCUUUUGUUGAACGUAGAUGAUUUUCUCAUACAUUAUAUCCUGAUUAUAGUUUCCCCUCCCUCUCUUUACUCUCUCUAGUUCCUCCCUACCCACCCUACCCUCUAGACCUACUCCCUUCCUGCCUCUCAUUAAAAAAGAACAGGCUUCUAAGAGAUA